rnacentral:snoRNA from 11 species
AAGACUAUACUUUCAGGGAUCAUUUCUAUAGUUUGUGACUUGAGAAAUGUGUUUCUAAAGUGUUUGGUCUCGCUAACCACGAUGAUGAGCUGUGAUGUUCUCUUCUGAGCGUGAAGCGGAUGGAGAAUAAUGAUUCACAUCAUAUGUUCUUUAUCAUUGAUGAUCGUUCUUUGCUUCCUUGUGGAGUAUUGAGGAGGAGAGCAUGAUCAGAGUGGUU